AUUGAACGCUGGCGGCAUGCCUUACACAUGCAAGUCGAACGGCAGCACGGGAGCAAUCCUGGUGGCGAGUGGCGAACGGGUGAGUAAUAUAUCGGAACGUGCCCAGUCGUGGGGAUAACGUAGCGAAAGCUACGCUAAUACCGCAUACGAUCUAUGGAUGAAAGCGGGGGAUCGCAAGACCUCGCGCGAUUGGAGCGGCCGAUAUCAGAUUAGGUAGUUGGUGAGGUAAAGGCUCACCAAGCCGACGAUCUGUAGCUGGUCUGAGAGGACGACCAGCCACACUGGGACUGAGACACGGCCCAGACUCCUACGGGAGGCAGCAGUGGGGGAAUUUUUGGGACAAUGGGCGCAAGCCUGAUCCAGCAAUGCCGCGUGCAGGAUGAAGGG
rnacentral:rRNA from 1 species